rnacentral:misc_RNA from 1 species
UGAAUAUGUCGCACGACGUGACCAUAAACUUCAACGGCAAAUCGUUUAACCUUCUUCGUUUUCAACCAUCCUGGACAAUCGCUCAACUAAAACGCGAAAUUGCUCGCAAGAGAAAUGUCAAAACUGCUGGAAUUAAAAUCAUUUUUACCGGUCGAGAAUUUCCCGAUGAAUUAACACUCGGGAAUGCAGAGAUGAACCACAGCGUCAUUCAUGCUGUUCAGAAAUCUGGCCAGCUCUCAGUUGAUGCAACUUAAUUACAAUGCGAAUUAUGGUUUGACAAAAGUGAAACUGACACAGGAUGACGAGGAUAAAGAUGGUGAAUCUCAACAAUCAGGCAAGCAAAGUUUCUUCUUUGUUUUUUGUGAAACUUGCAAGAAACUAACACAAGGAAAAUUGCGAUGUCCAUGUUCAAAUUGCAAGGAAGGAAGCUUUGUUCUAUCACAGAGUCCAAAUGGUUGGGACGAUGUAUUGAUCAAAGGCCGCAUGCAGGGACAAUGUGAAUCCAAUACAAACUGUCAGGGAACAACAGCUGUAGUUUACGCUAAGAGAAAUUAGACCUUACAUCUCAAUUGAGAAAAUGUGAAGCAACUAUCGUUCAUCUUCAAGGUUUACUUCAUUUUUUCUUCAGAAGAGGUUCGUCAGAAGCAACUAAACAUUGAUCAACUUCACUAUCAGUUGACAACUGAGAAUCGUCGGGCCAACGAAAAAAUGAAUGCUUUAAUGCAGCAGAACUCUGAUCUCAAGCUGCAGGUAACCCAAGCAAGACACCAGGCUGACGAAUUUUACAAAACGGGUUUAGAGAGAAAUAUUGAUGCUGUAUCAUUAUAUAGGAAACCAGUUGUCAGCAUUAAAAUUGGAUCUCGGCAGUCACGGAAAACCUUUAAAUACGUACAAUCCCGAAAGUCAGUUUAUAAAAGACCUUCGAAAAGAAUGGUCAACAACUGUGUCACUCCAUGGCACUAAGUACAGAGUUGGAGCCAUUGUGUUCAUCGGAUACAAAAAUGAUCUCCCUGAAUUUGCAUCCAUUAUGGAGAUUAUUAUAUUCGAUGCAGGAAAGAUGUACUUUGUUGUGAAGAGGCUAGAAACAAUGAUGUUUUCAAAUCAUUUCCAAUCCUAUGAGGUGCGAAGACCAACUGGUGCAGCUUCCUUUCUUUUAAUGCCAGAGAAUUUAAAGGUGUACCUUCCAAUGCACAUAGUAAAGGCAUCUGUUUGUCAGAACAGUAUAUCAUGUUACCCCAAGGUAUCUCCCACCAAAAACAAUGUAAAUAAUGUAAUUAUUGAAAUUAAAUAUUGACCAUAUUGAAAUAAAAUAUUGACUUAAAUGAUUAAAUAGACUAAGUGGUUUGGGGCAUCAACAGCCUUAUGCAGUAAUUGGGGUAUUAACAGGAGCACAAUUAUAGGGUUGAAUGCAAAGGAUACGGUAUUACAUGUUUAGUAAUUAGUGCAUAGUAACUGAUUUUUAUGAUUCUUAAGAUAUUUACGAUUGGUUAGCUUGAAAACCAAGUAAUGAUUUGCCUCCCAUUGAUGAACAAUUUCAAAAAGCUUAAUUAUACGACCAGUUUCAAAAGGGUUACCUACAUGACCAAUUUAAAAUUGGUCAUUUUAUAGGUUUUCUAGUGCUACCACCGAGAAAAUGGUUAAAUUAACCAUUUAAAGGUGGUCAAAAAUAUAACCAUUUAGGCUUUAGGUCGAAUUGACCAAUAUUUUAUUGGUAAUUUCAUACUAACCAUUUCAUUAAAUGGUUAAAAUGACCCAUUUAAAUUAGUUGCGACCUAUAAAAAGGGGUUAAUUUAACCCUUCUGUUUUUACAGUGUAGCUUCUGUUGUUCGCAAAAGAUUAACUAUGCAAAAUUUCCCACGAUGAUUACGUCACUAUAUACCACAUGUAGACGUGACCGAGCCCCAGAACAUCGUGGGAAAACCCAGAACACCGCGCAUGCCAGCCGGUAAAAAGGAUAUGGCGGAAAAUUUCAAUAGGGAACUGUUGAAACAAAACAUACGUGUUCAUUGAUAAGAUAUAAGUUAAACAUACGCGAAAAUGUAUCGAACGAAAACGGGUAGACUAAACAUUCGUUUAAU